GUAACCUCCCUGGAGCCUAUAGAAAUCUUUUGUGUGGCGUCACCGCCUUUCGUUUAAAUCCCGCUUCCUCCUCUCGCCCUUCCUCCCGCCCCCUCCGCCGCUCCCGGAUGCUUGCGCGAUGCGCUGCUCCUCCCCCGGGAAGCUGGGUGGCUGCGGGGGACGCCGCCGCCCAACGCGGACGCUGCCGGCGUGGGGCCGGUGGUCCUGAACUCCCCCGUGGUCCUGGGCCGAGAGACUGGGGGAGCGGACAGGGGAAGGCCUGCUCCGGCCCGGGGGCUCUGCGCACACCCAUGGGAGACCGGGGCGCAGCCGCCCGCGGGCCUUACGUAAGCUCUUAGCCGGACCAGGGGGCUCCACGCUUCCUCCCCGCCAAGAGAGCAAGUCUAAAAGGUGACCUGGCUUCUGGGCUGAAGGGAGGAGGACACUGGAUUUCGGCCCCUGGUGAUUUGCUGGGGCCGGUGGGUCGUCUCGGUCUGCGCGACUUCGCCCGGUUUUCCAACGCCCCCUGCCCUUUGUUGUGUUUGAUCCACUUCCACGAUGGGUUUCCGACCAGCAGUGCAGUGUAACGAAAAGAGGAAAAGAGCACUGGAUGGGGAGUCCGAAGAGUGGUGCUAGAUGCCUGCCCGUUCCUCCCUUGAAAUACGCCUUAUGCAGUGAGAGCGCGGGUUCUGAAGCAGAUUUCCUAGGAUCAGCCUUUCUCAAGCCAUUUAUGAGUUCCAUGACAUUGUUCAAGUUCUCUUUCCAAGUAUCCGUCUUCUCUUCUAGAAAUUAGAGAUUGUGCACAGGCUGCUUGAGUACUUGGUUCCUAAACAGUAGCUGUUAGAAUUAUUAUGAGCCCUGAUCAGCGCACUUUGCCCUCUCAUAACGUCUAUUUAUUCGUCUGUAUAAUGGAAUAAUAGUGGCUGCUGUUAAAUGAAUUAAAUACGACGGCGUUUGGAGGGAAACAUUACUACUCCAGUUUUACAGAUAAGGAAACUGAUGAUCAGGUGCUUGAAGUGACUUCCGAAGAUCAGGAAGACAGCAUAUGGCAGGGACAGGAACCCACGCCUACGCCCCAGCCUCUUUUUACCGAACCUUGUUCUUCAGGAAGUGGUUAAAACACCUGGGCUACUCCCAGCAAAACGCCAGUCACGCAGUCCUGAAACAGGUCCUCUAAGGUGCCCAGCCCAACACAGGCUGGGCGUGCUGAGCCAACAGAAUGUUUGUUCCUCUGUCCCUUCCUAGAACCCCAAGUCACCUUUCUCCAGCCAGUUAAAAACGUUACUUUUAACUAGGAUGACGUUUCAAUUUAUCGGCCAUAUCCAAGCAUUUCUGAGAAUGAACUGUGAGACAUGCUAUUAAUAAAUUAACCAUGAACAGCAGGUUCAAACCUGGAUGGAUAGUCAUCCUACUUAUAACUGAAAGUAUCCUUAAAUAUCUUUAGAAUCCGGAUGAGCCCACUUAGUUUGCAAACCGAGGUCAAUAAAACUGACUUGAAAUAGGAAGUAAUUAUGUAGGGUUAAUUCCUUUUUUUCUUCUACAAGAGAAAAAAAAAACAGCUGGAUAAGUCAAGGUUUUUCCAUGGUGACCCAGGGAUUGCACCUUAGUCCUUCUUAAGCUCCAAAAACUUAUGAGAGGGGGCC
rnacentral:lncRNA from 1 species